GUUCUGACCUUUAUUUCCUGUGUUUUGUAUUUAGUUAGUAUGGUCAGGGCGUGAGUUGGGUGGGCAGUCUAUGUUUGUUUUUCUAGGUUUUGGGAAUUUCUAUGUUUCGGCCUAGUAUGGUUCUCAAUCAGAGGCAGGUGUCAUUGGUUGUCUCUGAUUGAGAAUCAUACUUAGGUAGCCUGGGUUUCACUGUGUGUUUGUGGGUGAUUGUUCCUGUCUCUGUCUUUGCACCAGAUAGGACUGUUUUGAGUUUUCACAUUUCUUGUUUUUUUGUAGUCAGUUGUUCAUGUGUACCUUAACGUAUUAAAAAGAACCAUGGACAAUUA